GUCAUGUGUGGAACAAAGCUGGCCUGAAGACUGUGGGAAUCAGCACCUGAAAGCAUUUGCAGCAGGUGCAUGCGCAGGUCCCUCUCCACCUGCGUGUCCAGCUGCUGCAGCACCGAGAUGAAUGCCUGGGACCCAGCAAUCCAUCAGAUCGCCCCACUGCAGCUGCAGAUGACAGUCCAGAUGUUCACUCACGCUGCAGAAGGGCUGAGCCCAGGAUGUUCAACAGAAUUGGAAUCCACCUGCCUGAUGCUGGCGCUGUUUCCUCUUAUGCAGUCUCUGCAUGCUAGAUGACAAGAUGUAAAGAAAAAUUACUAAUUAAUGCUCUGCUGGCUCCAAAACAGCAAUAGAGAGGAAAUUCUUCUUUCACUUUAGCUCCUGCAUGAGCCUCAAGCUCUGUUCAUUAAUAGUUUGGAGCCUGUGCUCAGCCUUGAAGCUUCCACCAAUCUUGUGGCUCAAACUGCCCAUCCCUGGACCUCGAGUUCAAUUCUGGAGACACAAUGAGGUGUCCUCAACUGAAUGACAGAAACACCCUCACAGGACCCCCUCAUUUAAGAAGCUUCUUUUUAGAAGAGAUAGAAACCAUCAAAAAAAUUCAUAACUGGGAAAAAUGCAGGGAGUUACUGACCUGGGGUGGGCGGCAGCUCCACCUGAUGCAUCUACAACACAAUCCCUGUCCCGGUGGACCAGAGAACCAGAGAACCAGAGAACCAGAGGACCAGGACUUCUGCUAUAUGUUAGGAAGCUGCACCCAUGACUCUUAACAACAUGGUCAUCUAAAUAAGAACAGCAUAUGACAAUAUGUUAGCACACCAAUGUAGAUGAAGGAGUUCUCACAAUGCCCUACCCCAGGUGAAGAACUCUUAAUGGUUGCUAAGAGAAGAGAAUCCAUCUUCACCAGGGACAAGCCCCUGUAAGGUAAUCCAAUCUCAAGUGGUCAGUCCCGAAACUGUGCGUGUGUGUGUGUGUGUGUGUGUGUGUGUGUGUGUGUACAAUAUUAAAUAUAUAUGCAAUACAUAUGUGCAAUGUUAAAUUGAUUCAGCAAGUACAACCAUAGUAAUUCAUAAGGAAGAUGUCAUGAGCUUGAGAGGGAAACGUAGCCACCAUGGGAGAAGCUAAACAGAGGGGGAGGGGAGCAGAAAUGAUGUAAAUAUAGUAUUCACGCAUGGAAUUCUUGAAAACAAAGAUUAAAAAAAUAAAGUAAAUAAGAAAUGUGCGAAUUUGUGAAAGAAAGGGGCAACUAAUCUGUUUAGGGGGUCUAUGUAC
rnacentral:lncRNA from 1 species